CCCAGCAGCUGCAUGGUGGCCGGUGCGUGCAGCCGCAGGCAUCAUGUGCUUCGGCGCGUGCAUGGUGGCCGCCGGGCGUGCAGCUGCAGCAUCCGAGUGCAGCCGCCGCGUGCUGGCCCCCACAUAUGUUGGCCGAUUACGUGCUUGCCGUAGGCGUCCAAGGCCAAUGGAGGCCGCCGCCUUCAACUCGCGCUUGCCCUGCAGCCUUGAACGCCUCUGUAAAUUUCUCCGCCCAUCUCUUGCAGGAACCAUACUUCCUUCCUUCUCUCCUCCUCUUGAUUAGCAUGCUCCUUUCCAAUCCACUCCUCUCCUUUGAUUUAACACCUAGAACUUUUCAUCUUUGUGCGGAUUAUUCUGUGUAUAUGCCUACAAGGUGCUCGAUGAAAAUCCAAACAGGCUACAGGGGAAGAUUACUUCCUUUUUAUGCUUUUCUGUGUACUCAACAAUUCUUUCUUCUUCUUCUUCUGAAAUUUAGCUGUAAUCAUCAACAAAUUAGGCCCCCCAAGUUCUUCCCCAAAAUGUACUGUACAUGCAAGAUAAUUACAUGAUCGAAAAUAUGCAAAGCACUUUAAAUAGAUGUUGCAAAGCAUUUUAAAUAGAUGUUGUAAGUUUACUCCUUAGGUUUACUGUAUAAUGAGAUGCAAUACACAUAUGUGAACCAGUGAUAUGUAGGACAUUUUCAAUAGAGAUACUCUUUGUGUUCACCAGUUACUCUUAGACAUGAAAAGCAUCAGCUAUAUAGUAUUAUUCAGUGGAUAUACUAUAUGUUAACACACAAGGUACAGCUCUAUGGGGAAAAAACUGGAUAUAAACACUAAAUGCACAAUGCAUCUUAUCAAAUUGUUAACUCUUGAGAAAUUUAACUUAAAAAGCUAUUUUCUCAACUAUUGGUACUACUGUAGUCUGUAGAUGUCCAGAGAUCAUUCUAGGGGUAUUAAGAUUAGUUUUCCAAACCAUGUGUAAAUCUAAAUUCUAGGUGUGCAGAGAUCUAUUUUCUCAACUAUUGGUACUAUUGUAGUCUGUAGAGGCGUACAUAUCUAUUGCUAACAAUCUAAAUUUCUAGAUCAGCAGCUUGGUCUUAAGCUUACAAAAUAGACUACUUUGUCUGAGCAAUAAUAGGUUGUAAUUGUUUUGAAUGCUAGACAUUGGUGUUCAUAAAAUUUUGUCCUCACUUCUUGACCCCAAUUCAAAUUAGUUUUUUUUCUUCUCAUGAGUGUUAAUUUAUUUGGCGCUUUUGCUGUCAUACUUAGAGCCCUGGUUCAGAAUAGUUUUUUUUUCUUCUAGUUCAGGUUAGUGAUUUUUGUAUAUCAAUUUUGUGUUCACAAUUUUGCGUCAGACCAUAGAAACAUUUUGUCUCAUGCUUUGGCUGACUUGCUCUAUUUUCUAUACAAAUUCUAGAUCGCCAGUUCGGAUCAUGAUCAUUGUGUGUCCUUCUUUGUAACUUCGGAAACAGUUUAAUAAUUGUACAAAGAAGAACCUUGUGUUCUGGAAUAUGGAUUGAAGGUUACAAGUAAGCUCAGCCGGCAGACGACAUUCAUGUAUCAUAGGAAAGCAAUGGUAAUGAUUGGCUCUUUCUGACAAAAAGAUAUAUCAUGCUCCAUGUUUUUACAGGCACAUUGACAUGAAUAUAAUAGUCGUUAGCAUCUCUAUAUCAUGUCCAGUCUUCGUCUUCGUCGUCGUCGUCGUCGUCGCCGCUGUAUCUUUCUGAGCCUCACCUCACAAUUUCAAUGCAAAAUGCAGCCAUCAUCUUGGAAUUCCUUGAGAAUAUCCCUGCCAAAUGCGCCUCCUGGGUGUUCCUGUGCGGUGCCAUCUUAAUACAGUGCUAAUGACACGCCUUCUAGUGGUCCGUGGGAGCAAAUUGGAGAAACGGAAGACGGGGGAAAGCAAUGCAUGGCUUCAAACUGGGGGGCGGGUUGGUAAUCGUCGAAUCGCGCGGUUGCAACUAGACUGAAUUAAACAGCAUUGUGCAUCAAAGUGUGACAGAAAUGCACGCGUCGCAUUUGGGCGAAUGUUAAUAUCGAUUUGUUCAUGAUGAAAGCAAGUGAUUACUAUUUACCACCGCGUAUCUGUGUCGCUAAAGAGCAGCAGCUUGAACUGGUUGAGAUGCUUGGGGUGGCGUCUUCUUUCAGUUUUCCUCUAGCCGCAUAUACACAGAGAGGGUGUAACUGUGAGAAACUUCAGCUCCAGGCUAACGGUUGGAAUUGUCCUCUUAUGAUUUUGCUUAAUGUUUACUUCCAUAUCAAACAUGAUGUUAAUGUUAAGUAUACAUGUUGUGUUUGUCUUGUA